GAUGCAGAGCUUGCUCUGCUGAUCAGUGGCGAACGGGUGAGUAACACGUGAGUAACCUGCCCUUGACUCUGGGAUAAGCGCUGGAAACGGCGUCUAAUACCGGAUACGACCUUCCCCGGCAUCGGGUGGGGGUGGAAAGAUUUUUUGGUCAAGGAUGGACUCGCGGCCUAUCAGCUUGUUGGUGAGGUAAUGGCUCACCAAGGCGACGACGGGUAGCCGGCCUGAGAGGGUGACCGGCCACACUGGGACUGAGACACGGCCCAGACUCCUACGGGAGGCAGCAGUGGGGAAUAUUGCACAAUGGGCGAAAGCCUGAUGCAGCAACGCCGCGUGAGGGAUGACGGCCUUCGGGUUGUAAACCUCUUUUGGCAGGGAAGAAGCGAAAGUGACGGUACCUGCAGAAAAAGCACCGGCUAACUACGUGCCAGCAGCCGCGGUAAUACGUAGGGUGCGAGCGUUGUCCGGAAUUAUUGGGCGUAAAGAGCUCGUAGGCGGUUUGUCGCGUCUGCUGUGAAAUCCCGAGGCUCAACCUCGGGCCUGCAGUGGGUACGGGCAAACUAGAGUGCAGUAGGGGAGACUGGAAUUCCUGGUGUAGCGGUGGAAUGCGCAGAUAUCAGGAGGAACACCGAUGGCGAAGGCAGGUCUCUGGGCUGUAACUGACGCUGAGGAGCG
rnacentral:rRNA from 1 species